rnacentral:rRNA from 1 species
UAGCUAGUUGGUGAGGUAAAGGCUUACCAAGGCGACGAUCUGUAGCGGGUCUGAGAGGAUGAUCCGCCACACUGGAACUGAGACACGGUCCAGACUCCUACGGGAGGCAGCAGUGGGGAAUUUUGGACAAUGGGGGCAACCCUGAUCCAGCCAUGCCGCGUGAGUGAAGAAGGCCUUCGGGUUGUAAAGCUCUUUCGGCCGGGAAGAAAUCGCAUGGGCCAAUACCCUGUGUGGAUGACGGUACCGGAAUAAGAAGCACCGGCUAACUACGUGCCAGCAGCCGCGGUAAUACGUAGGGUGCGAGCGUUAAUCGGAAUUACUGGGCGUAAAGCGUGCGCAGGCGGUUUUGUAAGACAGGCGUGAAAUCCCCGGGCUUAACCUGGGAACUGCGUUUGUGACUGCAAGGCUAGAGUACGGCAGAGGGGGGUGGAAUUCCACGUGUAGCAGUGAAAUGCGUAGAGAUGUGGAGGAACACCAAUGGCGAAGGCAGCCCCCUGGGUCGAUACUGACGCUCAUGCACGAAAGCGUGGGUAGCAAACAGGAUUAGAUACCCUGGUAGUCCACGCCCUAAACUAUGUCAACUAGGUGUUGGGUGGGUAAAACCAUUUAGUACCGUAGCUAACGCGUGAAGUUGACCGCCUGGGGAGUACGGCCGCAAGGUUAAAACUCAAAGGAAUUGACGGGGACCCGCACAAGCGGUGGAUGAUGUGGAUUAAUUCGAUGCAACGCGAAAAACCUUACCUACCCUUGACAUGCCAGGAACUUGCCAGAGAUGGCUUGGUGCCCGAAAGGGAGCCUGGACACAGGUGCUGCAUGGCUGUCGUCAGCUCGUGUCGUGAGAUGUUGGGUUAAGUCCCGCAACGAGCGCAACCCUUGUCGUUAAUUGCCAUCAUUUGGUUGGGCACUUUAACGAGACUGCCGGUGACAAACCGGAGGAAGGUGGGGAUGACGUCAAGUCCUCAUGGCCCUUAUGGGUAGGGCUUCACACGUCAUACAAUGGUCGGUACAAAGGGUUGCCAAGCCGCGAGGCGGAGCCAAUCCCAGAAAGCCGAUCGUAGUCCGGAUUGCAGGCUGCAACUCGCCUGCAUGAAGUCGGAAUCGCUAGUAAUCGUGGAUCAGCAUGUCACGGUGAAUACGUUCCCGGGUCUUGUACACACCGCCCGUCACACCAUGGGAGCGGGUUCCGCCAGAAGUAGGUAGCCUAACCGCAAGGGGGGCGCUUACCACGGCGGGGUUCGUGACUGGGGUGAAGUCGAAACAAGGUAGCCGUAGGGGAACCUGCGGCUG